rnacentral:rRNA from 1 species
CAAUAGCGUAUAUUAAAGUUGUUGCAGUUAAAACGCUCGUAGUCGGAUUUCGGGGCGGGCCGACCGGUCUGCCGUUGGGUAUGCACUGGCCGGCGCGUCCUUCCUUCCGGAGACCGUGCCUUCUCUUAACUGGGCGGGUUCGGGAGACGGAACGUUUACUUUGAAAAAAUACAGAGUGUUUCUUAGCAGGCAGCUCGCUCUUGCAUAGGUUAGCAUGGGAUAAUUUAAUAGGACUCUGGUGCUAUUUUGUUGGUUUCGAACACCGGAGUAAUGAUUAAAAGGGACGAGUCAGGGCGACUCGUAUUCCGUCGAGAGAGGUGAAAUUACUCAGACCAGCGGAAGACGAACCACUGCGAAAGACAUUUGCCAGGGAUGUUUUUCUACUGAUCAAGAACGAAAGUUAAGGGG